rnacentral:rRNA from 1 species
AUUCCAGCUCCAAUAGCGUAUAUUAAAGUUGUUGCAGUUAAAAAGCUCGUAGUUGGAUUUGUGGUGUACUUCGGCGGCCCGUCACUAUGUGAUGGAGCUUGCUGAAGUCGCCAUCCUUGGGUGGAUCCUGUGUGGCAUUAAGUUGUCGUGCAGGGGAUGCCCAUCGUUUACUGUGAAAAAAUUGGAGUGUUCAAAGCAGGCUUGUGCCGUUGAAUAUAUUAGCAUGGAAUAAUAAGAUAGGACCUUGGUACUAUUUUGUUGGUUUGCGCACCAAGGUAAUGAUUAAUAGGGACAGUUGGGGGUAUUCGUAUUUCAUUGUCAGAGGUGAAAUUCUUGGAUUUUUGAAAGACGAACUACUGCGAAAGCAUUUACCAUGGAUGUUUUCAUUG